rfam:Glycine soja cultivar W05 scaffold1183_8, whole genome shotgun sequence.
GAACUGUGAUGAUUAUUGCAAGUGGUUGAUGGGUCAAUCACUCUCAUCUCAUCUAAGUAGAUGAAAUCUGCAUCUGAGUUC